CGCUCUGCUGCCGCUCCCCCCUGCCUGGCCCGGCCUCCUACCUUCCCCUUGGUGUCUGGCGAAGGGCUUUUGCUGCUGGCGGGAGGACUCGAGCUCAUGAGGAUGUCUGUCCGAAAAGCUGGUUCCCACUGCAGGACGAAGCAGGAAAGAGAGGACUGGAGACGAUACCUCUUGGGGCGCGGGGGACAGCGGGGGUGGUCGGCCCGAGGAGCGGGGGCAGCGCCGAGCCUGCCGGGCAGCUCUUUUCUUCCUUCCUUCCUGCCGGAGAACAGGGCUCGCUUAUUUCGGACCGAGUCCCCGAGCGAUACUAACCACUCACCCACACUUUUCUUUUUUCCCUCGGUAAUGACGUCCACCAAGGGUGAAAUGAUGGAAAGUAUAUUCAUAGGCAUGAUUUCCAUUAAGUAUCAAUUAACCUGAAGCCUCA